rnacentral:rRNA from 1 species
UACGGGGGGUGCAAGCGUUCUUCGGAAUUAUUGGGCGUAAAGGGCGCGUAGGCGGUUGCAUAAGUCAGAUGUGAAAGCCCUUGGCUUAACCAAGGAAGUGCAUUUGAUACUAUUUGACUUGAGUAUGGGAGAGGGAAGUGGAAUUCCUGGUGUAGAGGUGAAAUUCGUAGAUAUCAGGAGGAACACCGGUGGCGAAAGCGACUUCCUGGACCAAUACUGACGCUGAGGAGCGAAGGCGUGGGGAGCAAACAGG